GACGAACGCUGGCGGCGUGCUUAACACAUGCAAGUCGAACGGAAAGGCCCUGCUUUUGUGGGGUGCUCGAGUGGCGAACGGGUGAGUAACACGUGAGUAACCUGCCCUUGACUUUGGGAUAACUUCAGGAAACUGGGGCUAAUACCGUAUAGGAGCUCCUGCUGCAUGGUGGGGGUUGGAAAGUUUCGGCGGUUGGGGAUGGACUCGCGGCUUAUCAGCUUGUUGGUGGGGUAGUGGCUUACCAAGGCUUUGACGGGUAGCCGGCCGUAGAGGGUGACCGGCCACAUUGGGACUGAGAUACGGCCCAGACUCCUACGGGAGGCAGCAGUGGGGAAUAUUGCACAAUGGGCGGAAGCCUGAUGCAGCAACGCCGCGUGCGGGAUGACGGCCUUCGGGUUGUAAACCGCUUUCGCCUGUGACGAAGCGUGAGUGACGGUAAUGGGUAAAGAAGCACCGGCUAACUACGUG
rnacentral:rRNA from 1 species